GGCUGAUUUGGAUUCCCGCUCACGGCCACCGUCGGUGGCUCGCGAACUGCUGACGCGGCGUCUCGCUGGCUGGUCCUCCUCUACAUCGACUCAGCCCGAAGAAGCUUGAGCGAGCGCUACGAGGAGGAGAUGACAGUGCGAGCCGAGGCUCUAGUCAACUCCGGCAGGCGGCUGGUACAGAGGUACGAGCAGGAGAAGAGCCGUCUCGCCGACGGGCUGCUCCACCCACGCUUGCACGGAUGGCCGGAUGACGUCGCGGUCACCGAACGGCCAAACCACCAACCCGACGAACGACCCCCACCCGGCCGCCAGCCCACGGGUACCCCCACCGACUUUUGUUGAAAACUUGGGUGUCAUGUGGAGCAUUUCAUAAUUCUCGUGACAGACUGCAAAGGCUGAAGUGGAAUUCCUCACACAUCCGACACGACACAAUAUACGCACAGACACACGUAAACUUUACCCCCUGUAUUUCCAAUAUUCCUAUAACCGUGCUCGAUUCAAGACACUUAUUAUCUCUUUAUCGGUGACACAUUUAAUAGUCAUGUUUUUUGCUGGCUGUUUUGUGUGUGUGGGUCUUUGGGGCUGUCUGAUGAACAAAAAUAAAAUUAGUUCCUUGGGUGUU